UGGAGUGAAACAAGGAAGGCAUCGCUCUUUUUCUUGAGCCAAACGUGAGACUGCCUUCUGCGUCGAGCUGAACAAGGAAGGCAGGCGGCUCGAUCAUCCGACUGCAAAUCGUGCUGUCUUCCUUCCCAUCCGACGCCCACCGUCGCCAUCGCAAGUGUUUUGAAUACAAGUUAAUCCAUCAUUGUCUCUUACCUCAAGAUCCUAAAAAGCAAGCCUUGAAUCAUCAGAUAGUAGCUAAUAUCGAAGGAAAAGGGAGGA